rnacentral:rRNA from 1 species
GGUCUCGCUGAUCCCUCCUUUCUGAAGAACUGUAAUGUCAUUAAUUUGGUGUUGCAGGGAAACAGGACUGUUACUUUGAAAAAGUUAGAGUGUUUAAAGCAGGCUAACGCUUGAAUACAUUAGCAUGGAAUAAUGAAAUAGGACGUUCAAACCUAUUUUGUUGGUUUCUAGGAUUGACGUAAUGAUUAAUAGGGAUAGUUGGGGGCAUUAGUAUUCAAUUGUCAGAGGUGAAAUUCUUGGAUUUAUUGAAGACUAACUACUGCGAAAGCAUUUGCCAAGGAUGUUUUCAUUAAUCAAGAACGAAAGUUAGGGGAUCGAAGACGAUCAGAUACCGUCGUAGUCUUAACCAUAAACUAUGCCGACUAGGGAUCGGAUGAUGUUAAUUUUUUAAUGACUCAUUCGGCGCCUUACG